rnacentral:rRNA from 1 species
CCUUACACAUGCAAGUCGAACGGCAGCACGGGGGCAACCCUGGUGGCGAGUGGCGAACGGGUGAGUAAUACAUCGGAACGUGUCCUGUAGUGGGGGAUAGCCCGGCGAAAGCCGGAUUAAUACCGCAUACGCUCUACGGAGGAAAGGGGGGGAUCUUAGGACCUCCCGCUACAGGGGCGGCCGAUGGCAGAUUAGCUAGUUGGUGGGGUAAAGGCCUACCAAGGCGACGAUCUGUAGCUGGUCUGAGAGGACGACCAGCCACACUGGGACUGAGACACGGCCCAGACUCCUACGGGAGGCAGCAGUGGGGAAUUUUGGACAAUGGGGGCAACCCUGAUCCAGCAAUGCCGCGUGUGUGAAGAAGGCCUUCGGGUUGUAAAGCACUUUUGUCCGGAAAGAAAACGCCGUGGUUAAUACCCGUGGCGGAUGACGGUACCGGAAGAAUAAGCACCGGCUAACUACGUGCCAGCAGCCGCGGUAAUACGUAGGGUGCAAGCGUUAAUCGGAAUUACUGGGCGUAAAGCGUGCGCAGGCGGUCCGCUAAGACAGAUGUGAAAUCCCCGGGCUUAACCUGGGAACUGCAUUUGUGACUGGCGGGCUAGAGUAUGGCAGAGGGGGGUAGAAUUCCACGUGUAGCAGUGAAAUGCGUAGAGAUGUGGAGGAAUAUCGAUGGCGAAGGCAGCCCCUGGGCCAAUACUGACGCUCAUGC